AACAGACCUGAAGUCAGUGCUCACCUGAGGUCAGUGCUCACCUGAGAGGAACAGACCUGAGGUCAGUGCUCACCUGAGGUCAGUGCUCACCUGAGAGGAACAGACCUGAGGUCAGUGCUCACCUGAGGUCAGUGCUCACCUGAGAGGAACAGACCUGAGGUCAGUGCUCACCUGAGAGGAACAGACCUGAGGUCAGUGCUCACCUGAGAGGAACAGACCUGAGGUCAGUGCUCAC